rnacentral:tRNA from 1 species
GGGGUUGUGGCUCAGCGGUAGAGCACUCGCCCCGCAUGCAUGGGACCCUGUGUUCAAUCCUCAGCACCACA